rnacentral:lncRNA from 1 species
AGUUAAAGGGUGGGGUUUAGGAUUUAGGAUUUAGGGUUUAGGGUUUAGGGUUUAGAGUUUAGGGUUUAGGGUUUAGAGUUUAGGGUCUAGGGUUUAGGGUUUAGGGUUUAGAGUUUAGGGUUUAGAGUUUAGGAUUUAGGGUUUAGGGUUUAGGGUUUAGGGUUUAGAGUUUAAGGUUUAGGGUUUAGAGUUGAGAAAUGAGGUUUUGCGGAUAAGAUUUCAAAUUUUGAAAAAUAAAAAAAUUAAAAUUUUCAAAGCAUAAACUUAGAAAAGUGCUAUUUUGGUCAUUUUAGUUUUGGAGUGCUAUUUUUGUGAUAUAA